rnacentral:rRNA from 1 species
UACGUAGGGGGCAAGCGUUGUCCGGAAUCAUUGGGCGUAAAGCGCGCGUAGGCGGCCCGGUAAGUCCGCUGUAAAAGUCCAGGGCUCAACCCUGGAAAGCCGGUGGAUACUGUCGGGCUAGAGUCCGGAAGAGGCGAGUGGAAUUCCUGGUGUAGCGGUGGAAUGCGCAGAUAUCAGGAGGAACACCGAUGGCGAAGGCAGCUCGCUGGGACGGUACUGACGCUGAGGCGCGAAAGCUAGGGGAGCAAACAGG